GUUGCUUUUUUGAUGACGACCGGCGGGCGGGUGAGUAACGCGUAUGCAACCUACGUUUUAGCGGGGAAUAGCCCAGGGAAACUUGGAUUAAUGUCCCAUAGUAUGGAGGUCUCUCCUGAGAUCAUCAUUAAACAUUUAUGGCUAUUAGAUGGGUAUGCGUCCUAUUAGUUAGUUGGUAAGGUAACGGCUUACCAAGGCAGCGAUAGGUAGGGGUCCUGAGAGGGAGAUCCCCCACACUGGUACUGAGACACGGACCAGACUCCUACGGGAGGCAGCAGUGAGGAAUAUUGGACAAUGGGCGAGAGCCUGAUCCAGCCAUGCCGCGUGCAGGAAGACUGCCCUAUGGGUUGUAAACUGCUUUUACAGAGGAAGAACCACUCCCACGUGUGGGAGUUUGACGGUACUCUGCGAAUAAGGAUCGGCUAACUCCGUGCCAGCAGCCGCGGUAAUACGGAGGAUCCGAGCGUUAUCCGGAAUCAUUGGGUUUAAAGGGUCCGUAGGCGGGCAAUUAAGUCAGUGGUGAAAGUCUUCCGCUCAACGGGAGAACUGCCAUUGAUACUGAUUGUCUUGAGUUAUUAUGAAGUGGUUAGAAUGAGUAGUGUAGCGGUGAAAUGCAUAGAUAUUACUCAGAAUACCGAUUGCGAAGGCAGAUCACUAAUAAUACACUGACGCUGAUGGACGAAAGCGUAGGUAGCGAACAGGAUUAGAUACCCUGGUAGUCUACGCCGUAAACGAUGGUUACUAGCUGUUCGGCCCGAUUAAGGGUUGAGUGGUUAAGCGAAAGUGAUAAGUAACCCACCUGGGGAGUACGUUCGCAAGAAUGAAACUCAAAGGAAUUGACGGGGGCCCGCACAAGCGGUGGAGCAUGUGGUUUAAUUCGAUGAUACGCGAGGAACCUUACCAGGGCUUAAAUGUAGUCUGACAGGACUGGAAACAGUUUUUUCUUC
rnacentral:rRNA from 1 species